rnacentral:rRNA from 1 species
UAAGCGGAGGAAAAGAAACUAACUAGGAUUCCCUUAGUAACGGCGAGUGAACCGGGAUGAGCUCAAAUUUAAAAUCUGGCGUCUUUCAGGCGUCCGAGUUGUAAUCUAUAGAGGCGUUUUCCGCGCCGGACCGCGUCCAAGUCUCUUGGAAUAGAGUAUCAAAGAGGGUGACAAUCCCGUACUUGACGCGACAACCGGUGCUCUGUGAUACGUUCUCAAUGAGUCGAGUUGUUUGGGAAUGCAGCUCUAAAUGGGUGGUAAAUUCCAUCUAAGGCUAAAUAUUGGCGAGAGACCGAUAGCGAACAAGUACCGUGAGGGAAAGAUGAAAAGCACUUUGGAAAGAGAGUUAAACAGCACGUGAAAUUGUUAAAAGGGAAACGAUUGAAGUCAGUCGUGUGAAAGGUAUUCAGCCGUCUCUGGCGGUGUAUUUGCCUUUCACGGGUCAACAUCAGUUUGAUCCGGUAGAAAAAGGCGGGAGGAAGGUGGCACCCUCGGGUGUGUUAUAGCCUCCUGUCAUAUGUGCCGGACCAGACUGAGGAACGCAGCUUGCCGCAAGGCCGGGGUUCGCCCACGUACAAGCUUAGGAUGUUGACAUAAUGGCUUUAAACGAC